UACGUAGGGGGCAAGCGUUGUCCGGAAUCAUUGGGCGUAAAGCGCGCGUAGGCGGCUCGAUCAGUCUGUUGUGAAGGUCAAAGGCUCAACCUUUGAAUGCCGAUGGAUACUGUCGAGCUAGAGUCCGGAAGAGGCGGGUGGAAUUCCUGGUGUAGCGGUGGAAUGCGCAGAUAUCAGGAGGAACACCAACGGCGAAGGCAGCCCGCUGGGACGGUACUGACGCUAAGGCGCGAAAGCGUGGGGAGCGAACAGG
rnacentral:rRNA from 1 species